UACGUAGGGGGCAAGCGUUGUCCGGAAUCAUUGGGCGUAAAGAGCGUGUAGGCGGUUCAGUAAGUCGGGUGUGAAAACUCUGGGCUCAACCCAGAGACGCCACCCGAUACUGCUGUGACUUGAGUACGGUAGGGGAGUGGGGAAUUCCUGGUGUAGCGGUGAAAUGCGCAGAUAUCAGGAGGAACACCAGUGGCGAAGGCGCCACUCUGGGCCGUAACUGACGCUGAGGAGCGAAAGCGUGGGUAGCAAACAGG
rnacentral:rRNA from 1 species